GCGACAGCGCGGUAAUACGUAGGGUGCAAGCGUUAUCCGGAAUUAUUGGGCGUAAAGGGCUCGUAGGCGGUUCGUCGCGUCCGGUGUGAAAGUCCAUCGCUUAACGGUGGAUCCGCGCCGGGUACGGGCGGGCUUGAGUGCGGUAGGGGAGACUGGAAUUCCCGGUGUAACGGUGGAAUGUGUAGAUAUCGGGAAGAACACCAAUGGCGAAGGCAGGUCUCUGGGCCGUUACUGACGCUGAGGAGCGAAAGCGUGGGGAGCGAACAGGAUUAGAUACCCUGGUAGUCCACGCCGUAAACGGUGGAUGCUGGAUGUGGGGCCCGUUCCACGGGUUCCGUGUCGGAGCUAACGCGUUAAGCAUCCCGCCUGGGGAGUACGGCCGCAAGGCUAAAACUCAAAGAAAUUGACGGGGGCCCGCACAAGCGGCGGAGCAUGCGGAUUAAUUCGAUGCAACGCGAAGAACCUUACCUGGGCUUGACAUGUUCCCGACGGUCGUAGAGAUACGGCUUCCCUUCGGGGCGGGUUCACAGGUGGUGCAUGGUCGUCGUCAGCUCGUGUCGUGAGAUGUUGGGUUAAGUCCCGCAACGAGCGCAACCCUCGCCCCGUGUUGCCAGCGGAUUAUGCCGGGAACUCACGGGGGACCGCCGGGGUUAACUCGGAGGAAGGUGGGGAUGACGUCAGAUCAUCAUGCCCCUUACGUCCAGGGCUUCACGCAUGCUACAAUGGCCGGUACAACGGGAUGCGACGCGGCGACGCGGAGCGGAUCCCUGAAAACCGGUCUCAGUUCGGAUCGCAGUCUGCAACUCGACUGCGUGAAGGCGGAGUCGCUAGUAAUCGCGAAUCAGCAACGUCGCGGGAAUCGUCCCCGCCCUUG
rnacentral:rRNA from 1 species